GCAAUGGUGGUACAGUGGUAGCAUUCUUGCCUUCCAUGUGAGAGACCUGGGUUCAAUUCCCAACCACUGCA
rnacentral:tRNA from 1 species